rnacentral:rRNA from 1 species
GAUGAACGCUGGCGGCGUGCCUAAUACAUGCAAGUCGAGCGAACAGACGAGGAGCUUGCUCCUUUGACGUUAGCGGCUGACGGGUGAGUAACACGUGGAUAACCUACUUAUCAGACUGGGAUAACUUCGGGAAACCGGAGCUAAUACCGGAUAAUAUAUUGAACCGCAUGGUUCAAUAGUGAAAGACGGUUUUGCUGUCACUUAUAGAUCGAUCCGCGCCGCAUUAGCUAGUUGGUAAGGUAACGGCUUACCAAGGCAACGAUGCGUAGCCGACCUGAGAGGGUGAGCGACCACAAUGGAACUGAGAAACGGACCAGACUCCUACGGGAGGCAGCAGUAGGGAAUCUUCAGCAAUGGGGGAAAGGAUGACAGAGUAACGCCGCGCGAGUGAUGAAGGUCUUCGGAUCGUAAAACUGUGUUAUGAGGGAGGAACAAGAAUGUAAGAAAAUAUGCACGUAUUGACGGUACCAAAACAGAAAGCGACGGCUAACUACGUG